rnacentral:tRNA from 1 species
UGGGAGAUCGUCCAACGGCAGGACUUCGGACUCUGGAUCCGACUAUGGUGGUUCGAAUCCGCCUCUCCCAGCCA